AGCGUAGACGGCAAGGCAAGUCUGAAGUGAAAGCCCGGUGCUUAACGCCGGGACUGCUUUGGAAACUGUUUGGCUGGAGUGCCGGAGAGGUAAGCGGAAUUCCUAGUGUAGCGGUGAAAUGCGUAGAUAUUAGGAAGAACACCAGUGACGAAGGCGGCUUACUGGACGGUAACUGACGUUGAGGCUCGAAAGCGUGGGGAGGCAAAACA
rnacentral:rRNA from 1 species